rnacentral:piRNA from 1 species
UUGAAUUUCAGAAAUACCCAGAGCUGAGUUU